UAAUUUGCCUUCGGGUGGGGAAUAACAACCGGAAACGGUUGCUAAUACCGCAUAAUGCAGCGGCAUCUAUGAUGACAGUUGUUAAAGCGGGGGAUUCUUCGGAACCUCGUGCCUGAAGAGAAGUCCGCGGCAGAUUAGCUAGUUGGUAGGGUAAUGGCCUACCAAGGCGACGAUCUGUAGCCGGCCUGAGGGGGCGGUCGGCCACACUGACACUGACAUACGGGUCAG
rnacentral:rRNA from 1 species